GACCUUCCAGUGCUUACCACAGGCUGUAUUCCUACACUGAUCAUACAGAAAGAAGCAGCAGGGUAAACCUAUUCUAUAAACACCUCAGCCCAGGCCCUGUGCCUAACCUGUAUCGUGAAGGGGAGACAUGG
ensembl:snoRNA